rnacentral:rRNA from 1 species
CACCGGCGGCUCGAGUGGUAACCGCUAUUAUUGGGUCUAAAGGGUCUGUAGCCGGUCUGGUAAGUCUUUUGGGAAAUCCGGCAGCUCAACUGUCGGGCUUUCAGGGGAUACUGCUAGACUCGAGACCGGGAGAGGUGAGAGGUACUUCAGGGGUAGGGGUGAAAUCUUGUAAUCCUUGAAGGACCACCAGUGGCGAAGGCGUCUCACCAGAACGGAUCUGACGGCAAGGGACGAAAGCUAGGGGCACGAACCGG